UACAGUAUAACAGCUCAAAGUUCAUCUCUCGCAACACUGCAGUCCCGUCGUGACCACGACUCAUACAACUGGGUCGAAAUAUCGAUGAUUCAAAAUCAUAUAAAUUUCUAAAUCCC